UCCGAUGGGAGCGAAGACCUCUUCACAUCAUGGGAUCCUUCACAACCAAACAAUGUGGAUGGCAUUCAGUACUGUGUGUGCACAUCUCCGAAAGGAUACUGGAGCGACUGGUGGUGUACAGAUAAAUUACCAUUUCUGUGCUACACUGCGAAAAAGAGACAGAUGGUGAGACUGGAGGUAAAAUCAAGCCAAAAUGUGAAUGAUCCUGCAGUGAAGAGUAAGAUUUUGGCAAAGUUUGAGCAGACACUGAAGGAAAAUGGUCUGACAGAUGCCAAGCCCUCGUGGAAGGAGUCUUCUGGAGAAAACGUCUUUCACAAGAUGUGGUAUCAGAAGAGUGAUGCUUUUAAUGUGUCCUGCAGGAGAACCACGAACUGAGCGUCUCAUAAUAGCUUCGGUGUAGUAUAGCAGUCUCAGACAUCUGUAAUGUGCACUUCUGUACUAUUAGGC